rnacentral:rRNA from 1 species
UACGAAGGGGGCUAGCGUUGCUCGGAAUUACUGGGCGUAAAGGGCGCGUAGGCGGGUCGUUUAGUUAGAGGUGAAAGCCCAGGGCUCAACCCUGGAAUUGCCUUUAAUACUGGCGGCCUUGAGUAUGGCAGAGGGUCGUGGAAUUCCCAGUGUAGAGGUGAAAUUCGUAGAUAUUGGGAAGAACACCGGUGGCGAAGGCGGCGACCUGGUCCGAUACUGACGCUGAGGCGCGAAAGCGUGGGGAGCAAACAGG